rnacentral:lncRNA from 1 species
AAUUUAUAGGCUAACUAGACUUGUUUUACAAGGUGUGAUCCUUGAUGAAACACACUCUUCAACAACACUUUACACUAAAUAUUGAAAUUUUUCACAUUUUUUCAACUAUUGUAACACUUCACAAAACAUUGUCAUUUCCAAAUUAAAAAAAUAACAACAUGCAACAACUAUAAAAAAAACUAGAGCAAUGACUACCACAACAAUAUGUGGCGACUUGCCGCCACGAGCCAGCCGAAAAUCUGCCACCAACGUUGCCAUAUAACACACGACCAGU